rnacentral:rRNA from 1 species
AACGAACGCUGGCGGCAUGCCUAACACAUGCAAGUCGAACGAGACCUUCGGGUCUAGUGGCGCACGGGUGCGUAACGCGUGGGAACCUGCCCUUAGGUUCGGACUAACUCCCCGAAAGGGGUGCUAAUACCGGAUAAUGUCUUCGGACCAAAGGUUUGUCGCCUUUGGAUGGGCCCGCGUUGGAUUAGCUAGUUGGUAGGGUAAAAGCCUACCAAGGCUACGAUCCAUAGCUGGUCUGAGAGGAUGAGCAGACACACUGGGACUGAGACACGGCCCAGAAUCCUACGGGAGGCAGCAGUGGGGAAUAUUGGAAAAUGGGCGAAAGGAUGAACCAGCAAUGCUGGGUGAGUGAUGAAGGACGUAGGGUUGUAAAGCUCUUUUACCCGGGAUGAUAAUGACAGUACCGGGAGAAUAAGCUCCGGCUAACUCCGUG